GACCAGGAAUUUACAGCUAGAUGUGUAAGGAACGUUCCAUCUGCUCUCUCUCAGCACCACUUUGCAGCUAAUCAAGAAGACGCAAGCAGACAUCCACUGGGGGUGGGGAGGAGUUCCGAGAGUGCUGAGCCUUCCGGAUUAAAGGGACAUACGCUGCUGCCCGAAUCCCAAAUGCAGCGUGAUGCCACUACCGCAGCCCAGC
rnacentral:lncRNA from 10 species